rnacentral:rRNA from 1 species
UACGGAGGGGGCUAGCGUUGUUCGGAAUUACUGGGCGUAAAGCGCACGAGGCGGCUUUGUAAGUUAGAGGUGAAAGCCCGGGGCUCAACUCCGGAAUUGCCUUUAAGACUGCAUCGCUAGAAUUGUGGAGAGGUAAGUGGAAUUCCGAGUGUAGAGGUGAAAUUCGUAGAUAUUGGGAAGGAACACCGGUGGCGAAAGGCGGCGCUCUGGACCGAGACUGACGCUGACGGCGGCGAAAGCGUGGGGAGCAAACAGGG